AUCGGUUACACUCCCCUGUCACCAGUGAUCCUUUUUUGCUGACAUUCUGAAAAAAGUAUUGUGUUGUCCCUGUGGCAAGAACAUUAAAGAUAAAGGGGAAACUAUAAACAGAAGAAAUUAUCAACAAAAUAAGAUUUACAGAGGUCAACAAAGCCUAAAUGGUCAGCCAUCUUGAUUUUCAUGGUCAUCAUUCACAGAUCAAUACUGAACAGAAAACUUAAAGCUGAUAUUUUUCUCCAUAGUGCGACUUUUUUAUUAAUUUGAAAUGGAACGUGUUUUUUCCUACAUUUAUUUGAAAGAGGAAAUUUCAACAUGAUGACUAUAAACAAAGGAGUCAUAUCAUCACGAUCGUUGAUGCACAAGAACUUGAUCAUAUAAAUACAACAAUGUAAUUAUCAAUUGAAAGAUGGAACGAAUGAACAAAAUAUUAGAAUGUUGUUGUCCAAAUAAACUUGAUUUGUUUUCUCAUUUCAAUCUCUCCAUUCAAUAAAGAUGUACAGAGGAAGAUCUUUGAAGAACAGAUUGAAAAAAUGUUUUGUCUAAGAAUUGCAGGAAUAUUCUAGUGAAUGAAAUUAUUUAUUGACUUCACUCUUAUAUAGUGGACUGAAUAAUUGUA